rnacentral:lncRNA from 1 species
CCUUUUUUAACUUUUUGAUUCUUUUUUAUAUUUUUAAAAAAUAUGGCUACGUCUAGCACAAAUCAUCGAUGAUAAAACAGAAAUCACAAUCGCUUAUUGUCUUUGUAUGCGCACCAUCAUAAAUGUAUUCGUUGAUACAAUUGUAUUUAUAUUUUAUAGUAGUUCAUAUUUUUUUUGAAUUCACACUUGUAUUUAUACGUAUUUUAUAAUUUUCACUUGCAUUUGUACUUUAUAGUUCGCAUGAUCGUUUAUAAAUAAUACAUUCGCACUUGUAUUUUAAAGAAUUAUUUUGUCUUUGUAUUUUAUAGUUGAAUGCGUAUUGUAUUUGUAUUUUGUGAUUCUAUUUUAUUUGUAUUUGUAGUCUAUUUUCAUUAGUAUACUUGUAUUUUUUAAAAAAAUAUUUUGUAUUUGUAUUUCAAGUUAAACAUAGUAUUUGUGACUUCAUUUAUUUGUAUUUGAGUUUGUAGUUGACUGCAUCAUUUGUACUUUUAAACAAGUGAAAAAAAAUUAUUAAUUUUCUUUCUAUGAAUACUGGUAUUUAUAUUUAUUGAUAUGAAUUAUUUUAU